rnacentral:lncRNA from 10 species
ACUCAAUAUCAUGUUUACUGUGGGUUUGUCAUAUACAGCCUUUGUUAUGUUGAGAAGUUUACGAAGACAAAAGAGGAAUGACGACUCAGCAUAUUGUAAUGUAUAUUCAAUAUGUGCUUUGCUAAAUAUAUUUGAAAAGUAUAUAGGUAUAUUGAAAAAGACCAUGUCCAACUGAAAAUGCCCAGCUAAUGAAAAUAACAUUUUUCUUCCUACUGAAAACUAAGGUAAUUAUCCAGUUGAUAUUUAUCUUGUUCCAGUCACCUUUAGAAAGCUGUUUGGCAAGGGCAGUGACUGGAAGCUGGGAGAGAGGGUCAACAGCUGAAUCUC